GAUGAAGAACGCAGCGAAAUGCGAUAGGUAAUGUGAAUUGCAGAAUUCAGUGAAUCAUCGAAUCUUUGAACGCACAUUGCGCCCGCCAGUAUUCUGGCGGGCAUGCCUGUCCGAGCGUCAUUUCAACCAUCAAGCCCCGGGCUUGUGUUGGGGACCUGCGUCCGACGCAGGCCCUGAAAACCAGUGGCGGGCUCGCUGUCCACACCGAGCGUAGUAACUAACCUCGCUAUGGAGUGGCGCGGGCGCCUGCCGUAAAACCCCCAAUUUUUACAAGGUUGACCUCGGAUCAGGUAGGAAUACCCGCUGAACUUAAGCAUAUCAAUAAGCGGAGGA
rnacentral:misc_RNA from 1 species